rnacentral:rRNA from 1 species
AGGUCAUAGUGAUCCGGUGGUUCUGAAUGGAAGGGCCAUCGCUCAACGGAUAAAAGGUACUCCGGGGAUAACAGGCUGAUACCGCCCAAGAGUUCAUAUCGACGGCGGUGUUUGGCACCUCGAUGUCGGCUCAUCACAUCCUGGGGCUGAAGUAGGUCCCAAGGGUAUGGCUGUUCGCCAUUUAAAGUGGUACGCGAGCUGGGUUUAGAACGUCGUGAGACAGUUCGGUCCCUAUCUGCCGUGGGCGCUGGAGAACUGAGGGGGGCUGCUCCUAGUACGAGAGGACCGGAGUGGACGCAUCACUGGUGUUCGGGUUGUCAUGCCAAUGGCACUGCCCGGUAGCUAAAUGCGGAAGAGAUAAGUGCUGAAAGCAUCUAAGCACGAAACUUGCCCCG